rnacentral:lncRNA from 1 species
CAGAACAGGCAGAGGCAGUUCAGGGGUAUUCUGGUUGCCUUACCCAGCUCUGAAGUCUGUCAGCCUCUUCAGAUGUCACUUGCCAUGUGGUAAGGAAGUGUAGUCAGCAGCUGGUGCAGUGGGAAGAAGAGAAAGGAAGUUCCCCAAGACAAAAACAUCUCGGCAGACUUCAUCAUGAAUUCAUGGCAUCACACAGUCCCCUGAUGCUAUAACAUCAUGGAUUUCUUUUGUCCAGUGAGAGGCCCAAAAGCUGCAGCAUAGACAAUAUCAUAGUGUAGAAGGUUCACUAGACCGUGAUCAUGGGCUACAUUCUCCGUACCAGCUUCAUAGCUCCAGUGAGAAAAUAAAUUCCUGCAUCCAGGAGAUGUGGAGUAAGAGAUACAGCUGCCCUUGACCAUAUUUCUUACUUCCGAGAAGAUCGUAGCAGUAAUUCAGAAUCUCAUCCAGGAUACCUCAUCACAGGCUGGAGUGCAGUGUCAUGAGCUUGGCUCACUACAGCCUCCAUCUUCUGUGCUUAAGGAUCCUUCCCUCUCAACCUCCAAGGUAGCUGAGACUACAGGCAACAUUCGAAACCCAGGUGCCACUCCUUCAGGAAGGUACCAUCAAGCUCCAAGGACUCAUCCUCUUUCUCCUUCCCCACUACCUAGUCAUUAGAGCGUCAGCAUCCACUUCCUGAAAGGAAGAUGCCUGUUUUUCACAUAUCCCAGAAAGCCUCAUUUUAGGACAGCAUUUAGCAGAGUGUAUUCAGGAUCCCACUAACCUUUUCGGAAGACAUGACUUCCAGAUGAUAUAAGGCAAGAAUAAGAAAUUUCAGUGACAGGGAACAGAAAUCAUAUUUCUGCAUUCAGGAUCAUGUUUUCUUGGCUCCAUCAGGAACUGUGCAGGACUGUGCACUCUGUUGAUACUCACAUGGUGGAAUUAUAUUGCCCUUGGCCAACCCUAAAGCCAUCAAGAUAGCAGGUUUGGAAUAAUUCACUGUCGAAGUCUUCUUGAGCUGAGCAGUCAUGUGAGCUUGGAAGAUGAUCCCUCUCCAGCUGAUCCUUCAGCUCAGGCCAUCAUCUACAUCUGGAUUCCUGACCCGGAGAAACUAUGAGUAAUGUGUGCUGCUUUUGAGCCACUAAGCUACAUGAAUUAAUGAAGGAUCAUUAUUAAGUUUUUAAUGGGUCAAGAGAAAGUUACCACUGAGGUCUUCUCUACCUGGGCAACAAUUGACUCCUAACAACCACUAUAAGCUUGGAAGAUGAUCCCUCCCCAGCUGAUCCUUCAGGUCAGAUUUUUCACAGAGCCAUAGAUAUCUUAUCAUCCUCUGUGGCUUGAAGACUAAUGGCAAUAAAACAUUUCUCAAUAAAGGAGGCUAUACCAUUGUCUGUGUGAUUUCCACUUUCCCUGUUGACACUUAUUCUGCCAGUUUUGAUGUAGGUCAUCUUGCCAGAAGAUGAA